rnacentral:tRNA from 1 species
GCCUUCGUAGUGUAAAGGUAGCACACUCGGCUCAUAUUCGAGAAGUCCGUAGUUGAAUGCUGGCGAGGGCA